GAUGAACGCUGGCGGCGUGCCUAAUACAUGCAAGUCGAGCGCGGGAAUGAGGAGCUUGCUCCUCUGCCCCGAGCGGCGGACGGGUGAGUAACACGUAGGCAACCUACCCAUCAGACCGGGAUAACCGCGGGAAACCGUGGCUAAUACCGGAUGACCCUUCAGGACACAAGUUCUGAAGUUGAAAGGCGCUUUUGGUGCCGCUGAUGGUACGGCAGGCGGCGCAUUAGCUGGUUGGUGAGGUAACGGCUCACCAAGGCAACGAUGGGUAGCCGACCUGAGAGGGUGACCGGCCACACUGGGACUGAGACACGGCCCAGACUCCUACGGGAGGCAGCAGUAGGGAAUCAUCCGCAAUGGACGAAAGUCUGACGGUGCAACGCCGCGUGAGUGAAGAAGGGUUUCGGCUCGUAAAACUCUGUUGUUAAGGAAGAAUGACCGGUAUUUAACUGAUGCCGGUGUGACGGUACUUAACCAGAAAGCCACGGCUAACUACGUGCCAGCAGCCGCGGUAAAAC
rnacentral:rRNA from 1 species